AAUGCAAGGAAGUUGACAUGUCAUCACUUCAUUUUUUUGCGCCUGCGCAUAAAUCUGAGAAGCAAACCACAUUUGUUCCGGACCUGGGAUUCCUGGCAGUGCCUUCUGAUGGAGAUAAUCAAAGGACCUGAGCCCUAGGACCAUGCCUCAGGACUACCUGGUAUGAUGACUCCUUGCUGUCCCCAGUCCACCUGGCCGUGCUGCUGCUCCAGUUUCAACUGUUCUGCCUGCGGCUAUGGAACCCUGACCUGUUCACCGGACGUGCUUGUUGCACCCUCGACAACUACUAUGAUUAUUAUUAUUUGACCAUGCUGGUCAUUUAUGAACAUUUUAACAUUUUAACAUUUUGACCAUGUUCUGUUUUAAUAUCCACCCUGCACAGCCAGAAGAGGACUGGCCACCCCUCAUAGCCUGGUUCCUCUCUAGGUUUCUUCCUAGGUUUUUGGCCUUUCUAGGGAGUUUUUCCUAGGGAGUUUUUCCUAGCCACCGUGCUUCUUUCACAUGCUUUGCUUGCUGUUUGGGGUUUUAGGCUGGGUUUCUGUACAGCACUUUGAGAAUAUCAGCUGAUGUACGAAGGGCUAUAUAAAAAUAAAUUUGAUUUGAUUUGAUUUGAUUUGGAAAAAGGUUAUAUAAAUCAGAACACACUAUGUCAAAGACACACUCAGUGCUUAAUUGACUAAAUUUUAUUUGAGUUGCCUCUUCGUUAAUUCUCUAGCCCCCCUCUCCCUCACUUUUUGUUCCGGUACCUCCCGAUUUACAAAUUAAGCACUUGAUACACUAACACGUCACUCACAGGGUAAAAUAUAUCAUCCUUGGUUUACGCAUGAAUUGUCUGAGAAAUUACAGGAAAUACAUUUUUCUUGGGUUAAAAUUUAGCUUGGGCUAAAGGCUAGACUGACUGAUUUUAUGUCUGAUUGGCAGUCCUUCAGAUAUUUCAGAUAUAGAUGUCUAUCUCUGGUUAGAAAAGCAAAAUCAACAUAUUUCUUGAAUUGUGUAUCUGAGAGUGGUGGUAAUCCAGAUAACUUCUGGAAAGAGGUCAAAUCUUUUAAACAACUCCACCCCCUCGUUACCCCAGCAGAUUUUGACAGCCUCUGGUGCCAUACCAGACAACAUUUUAAUUUGUGUUUUUCUUUUUUACGAUUUUGCUUCAGCUGGCCACCUGUUUGAAAGGAAAGUAAAAAAAAUUCAGGUCAUUCCACUAGAGGGAGUCCUUUAGUCACCUCAGAACAGAUUGAAGAAAAUGACGCUCUAAAAGACUCACAUACUUUAUUUUCAUUUCAAGCAUUUGAUUUCUAUGAUGCAUUGAGUGCCUUGCCAAAGUAUGAUGUUAAAAAAAAUCCAUAGGGGCUGAUUCACUUGAUCUCUUCUUACCAGUGGUGUAAAGUACUUAAGUAAAAAUACUUUAUGUAAAAGUACUAUUUUUUUUACUAUCUGUACUUUACUUUGACUUCACAUUAUUCCAAAAGAAAAUAAUGUACUUUUUACUCCAUACAUUUUCCCUGACACCCAAAAGUACUCGUUACAUUUUGAAUGCUUAGCAGCAGAGGGAAAUGGUCCAAUUCACACACUUAUCAAGAGAACAUCCCUGGUCAUCCUCACUCCCUCUGAUCUGGUGGACUCACUAAAGACAAACGCUUUAUUUGUAAAUUAUGUCUGAGUGUUGGAGUGUGCCCUUGGCUACCCAUAAAUAAAUAAAAACAAGAAAAUUGUCUGGUUGGCUUGAUAUUAGAAAUUAAUUAUACUUUUGAUACUUAAGUAUAUUUUAGCAAUUACAUUUACUUUGAUACUUACCUAUAUUUAAAACAAAAUACUUUUAGACUUGUACUCAAGUAGUAUUUUACUGGGUAACUUUCACUUUUACUUGAGUCAUUUUCUAUUAAGGUAUCUUUACUUUUAUUCAAGUAUGACAAUUGAGUACUUUUUCCACCAAUGCUUCUUACUGCAGCUCUCUGCCCCACUUAUUGCAGAACCAUUGACCUAUAUUUUUUACUUGACUAUUGUUUCUGGUGUUUUCCCUAAGAUCUGGAAAGUGGCACAUGUCCUCCCCUACAUAAAGGAGGAGAUCCUUCUGACUUAGGUUACUACCGUCCAGUUUACAAAUGAUACUUCUUUUCAAAAGUUUUAGAAUCCCUGACCAACUCACAGCUAAGAACUUUUUUACUUCUCACUCUAUUCUUAAUGUGCACCGAUCCGGUUUUAGACCUAGACAUAAUCAAAAUAAAUCAAAGUUUAUUGGUCAUGUACCCAGACUUG
rnacentral:lncRNA from 1 species